UUCGGAAGGGUUGUAUUUAUUAGAUAUUAACCAUCCCCUCGGGGCUGUGAUGAAUCAUAUAACUGAUCGAAUCGAGGUUCGCCUUGAUAAAUCAUUCAAGUUUCUGCCCUAUCAGCUGUAGAUGGUAGUGUAUUGGGACUACCAUGGCUAUACGGGUAACGGAGAAUUAGGGUUGAUUCCGGAGAAAAGGCCUGAGAGACGGCCAUUACUUCUAAGGAAGGCAGCAGGCGCGUAAAUUACCCAAUCCUAAUACGGGGAGGUAGUGACAAGAAAUAUUGAUAUUGGACCCAAAGGGUACAAUGAUUGAAAUGAGAACAAUAUAAAAAACUUAACGACUAACAAUUGGAGGGCAAGUCUGGUGCCAGCAGCCGCGGUAAUCCAGCUCCAAGAGUGUAUAUUAAAGUUGUUGCGGUUAAAAAGCUCGUAGUUGAAUUUCUGAAAAUAAUCUUGUGAUUGAUUUAACCGUCAUGAACAAAAAAUUGUUUACAUACUUGAUAGAUGGAAACAUUUAUCUUAAUGACUUUGAAAA
rnacentral:rRNA from 1 species